UGUUCUGUGGCCUAGGUGGUUGAAGCGCCGGGCUAGCAAUACGAAGUCGUGGGUUCGAAUCCCACCAAAAUAA
rfam:Aedes albopictus isolate Foshan contig8204, whole genome shotgun sequence.